rnacentral:tRNA from 1 species
AUUUUCGGCCGGGAAUCGAACCCGGGCCGCCCGCGUGGCAAGCGAGCAUUCUACCACUGAACCACCGAUGCUUAAAA